rnacentral:rRNA from 1 species
ACGGAAGGCAGCAGUGGGGAAUAUUGGACAAUGGGCGAAAGCCUGAUCCAGCGACGCCGCGUGAGUGAAGAAGUAUUUCGGUAUGUAAAGCUCUAUCAGCAGGGAAGAUAAUGACGGUACCUGACUAAGAAGCCCCGGCUAACUACGUGCCAGCAGCCGCGGUAAUACGUAGGGGGCAAGCGUUAUCCGGAUUUACUGGGUGUAGAGGGAGCGUAGACGGUAUGGCAAGUCUGAUGUGAAAACCCAGGGCUCAACCCUGGGACUGCAUUGGAAACUGUCAAACUAGAGUGCAGGAGAGGUAAGUGGAAUUCCUAGUGUAGCGGUGAAAUGCAUAGAUAUUAGGAGGAACACCAGUGGCGAAGGCGGCUUACUGGACUGUAACUGACGUUGAGGCUCGAAAGCGUGGGGAGCAAACAGGAUUAGAUACCCUGGUA